AUGCUUUUGUGUCCCAUGAGCAUGAUAACUGGGUUUCCACACUGCUGUCUGAGAUAUGCCCCUUCAAAUCUUGUUACAAUGUUGGCACAUUACUCAUCUACA
ensembl:snoRNA